rnacentral:lncRNA from 1 species
AGAGCAUGAGUGGGAGUGUGUGCAUCAGGGGACGCAUGUGGAAGUGAAACAGAUCCCUCAGGCCCGCGAGCCGAUCGCGCUGCGUUUGUCAGUCCUGCCCGGGCGACAUUUUUUCCCUAAGCUACUGCACACUAAAGCAGAGAGAGAGCUUUCCUCGCAGCCUUCUUGAAGCCCCCUGAUUUUUUUACUCAUUGUUGAGAAGCUCACGCGGAGGUGGAGGCCAAGGUGUGUGCGGCUGCCGCCUGGACAUCUGUGCGAUCGACGCCGACGUUGGAAGAGUCGUAGAGUGUGAAAAUGAACCCGAGGGAGAAUUGGUGAAGUCGCGUUGAACGGCCGUCUCCAACUCUGACCUACUGAGGGAGCAGAUCGGAUCCAAGGAGCACCCCAGGCGACCUAGUGCAGACUGACGACAUCUGGAAGGGGGGAAAAAUGUAGUUAUCGAACCCAAUCAACUGUUUGUGUCUCUGAAAUUAUCAACAACAUCCAGUCGAGGAAGGUUCUGGUCGGUCCCACAGACGUAUGGCUGUCCAAGGAGCCACCUAAAGGUACGAUUCUCUGCCAUACUUUUGGCUUUACAAGCAGACAAAUGUUUUAUGUAUC